AAGGUUGAAAGAAUAUCAGAUGUUGAACCUCGCGCCUCGGUGGCGAAUUAUGUGGACGGAAAUGAGAAGAUGAAGUGGAAGCAUUGUGUAAACACACGCACAUCGGCAACAUUCGGUAAUUUCUUGAAAAUGGGUUCAUAACCCCGAAAUAUUGAAUACAAGUCAUUUGACUGCGGCCAUGCUGGAACAGGAUGAUGAUGAUAUUGAUGAUAUCAGAUACACUAACAAAAGAUUCUCCAACAUAGAUUCGGCUAAACCUCUCAUCCGAAAAAAGCAAAAAAAAAGCUGGACUUAAAAACUAACAAGCAAACAAUGACAACAAAAACAAAGAAACGACGAACAACUUCAACAACAACAACAAACCCCCCACCCCCACCAAAACAACCCCACCUCGACCCUAUCCCACGAAAGCCUUUACGUAAUCCCGUGUAUCAGACGAUAUCGCUGUAUCGGCGGAAUUAGAUGCGAAGCUUGGUAGAUUCUGGAGGCAUAACAACACUGCUCGCACAUGCAAGAUGGACUUCCUGAGCGAAUAACGAAUAAAUUGCCCGC